rnacentral:rRNA from 1 species
UGAGAGGAUGGUCCGCUCGAGUGGGACUGAGACACGGCCCACACACCUAUGGGUGGCAGCAGUUGGGAAUCUUGCACAAUGGGGGAAACCCUGAUGCAGCGACGCCGCGUGGAGGACGAAGGGUCUAGGCCUGUAAACUCCUUUUCUCGGGAAAGACUUAGGACGGUACCCGAGGAAUAAGCACCGGCUAACUACGUGCCAGCAGCCGCGGUAAGACGUAGGGUGCAAGCGUUGUCCGGAUUUACUGGGCGUAAAGCGCGCGUAGGCGGUCUGUUAAGUGCACAAGUGAAAGCUCCGGGCUCAACUCGGAAAUUGCUUUGCAUACUGGCAGGCUGGAGGGACGCAGAGGUCUGUGGAAUUCCUGGUGUAACGGUGAAAUGUGUUGAUAUCAGGAGGAACACCCAUGGCGAAGGCAGCAGACUGGGCGUUUCCUGACGCUGAGGCGCGAAAGCGUGGGUAGCAAACAGGAUUAGAUACCCUGGUAGUCCACGCCCUAAACGAUGGAUACUAGGCGUCGGAGGUAUCGACCCCUCCGGUGCCGCAGCCAACGCAUUAAGUAUCCCGCCUGGGGAGUACGGCCGCAAGGUUGAAACUCAAAGGAAUUGACGG